UACGGGGGGGGCAAGCGUUGUUCGGAAUUACUGGGCGUAAAGGGCGCGUAGGCGGUCAGACCAAGUCGAGUGUGAAAUUCCAGGGCUUAACUCUGGCACGCUCGCUCGAUACUGGUCGGCUAGAGUGUGGAAGAGGAUGCUGGAAUUCCCGGUGUAGCGGUGAAAUGCGUAGAUAUCGAGAGGAACACCUGCGGCGAAGGCGGGUUGCUGGGCUGACACUGACGCUGAGGCGCGAAAGCUAGGGGAGCGAACGGG
rnacentral:rRNA from 1 species